rnacentral:rRNA from 1 species
AUGGCCGAGAUAGCCGUGAAGUUAAAGGGCGCUGCUGACCGUUGCAAGCUUCUUGAAGAAGAAGACCGGGCGAGGCAGACGGACUUAGAGAAGGCCGUUGCUGAUGCCAAGGACACUCGCUCUGCGAUGAGAGCUGCGAAGGAGGAGCUGCGCCAAGACGAACAGAUUGCGGCUGGAAAGCCCUUUAUGCUGCGGAGGAAGUUUUGCGAUCCAAAGUUUGCUCCAUUGGACCGGAUGUGGAGUGUGAAGGACACCUAUUUGGAUUUGGCAGCGAGUGCUGCUGAUGCGACCAAACACUUUCGAGAUCAAAAAGAUCACGAAGUGGAAAAGCUUUUCUGGUCGCAGUUCCACAAUCCAGAGCGUCCACUGGCAGUGGACGAUCGCCUGGCCCAAUGGGCCAAACUGAAUAGGUUGUCCAGACUCUCCAUGAAGUACGUCUGGGUCAUCUGUGGCCGGGGAGAUCGGAGCCGAAGAGUUACUUCAGUUUGGUGCAGCAAUUCCUUGACGCGGUGCCGCGUAUCAAUGUGA